AGAUCACAUGCACAUGCGGGCACUUUGUAAACUGCAAAGCAGUUCAUGACAUUGUGAUAAAAAACAGCAAAGAGGUCACGGGCCAAAUUCACGGAUUUAUGUUUCCAUUACAAUAGGCAAAGAAAACCCCAUUCUCAGCCAGGCACGGUGGUUCAUGCCUGUAGUCUCAGCACUUUGGGAGCCUGAGGCCGGCAGAUCACUGGACCACACGGUAAAAAUCCAUCUCUUCAAAAAAACUCCAUCACUUCCCAGUUGGGUAACUUAAGGAAAGGGGCUUAUCUCCAUGUCUCUGUUUCCCGAUUCUUAAACGAGGGAUUAUGGGGUUCCUUUGAGGGUGAUCAAAAUGUUUUGGAAAUAGAGCUGGUGGUUGCCCAAUGUGGUGAAUAGACUAAAUGUCACUAAAUUGUUGACCUUAAAAUGGUUCAUUUUAUGCUAUGCAAAUUUAAUCUCAAUUUUAAAAGAGGGAUGACUACAUCAACUUUGUAGGGUUAUUUUGGGAUUAAAUGGGUCAAUCCACAUUAAGCAAUUAGAACCAAGCCUGGCAUAUGGUAAGCCCUCCAGUGACACUGAUUAUGAAUAUAUCCUGGGCCAGCUGCUUCAUUACAUGUAAGUGCCAUGAAAAUGUGCUCAAGGGAUCCAGACAACUCAAAUGUCUCCAUUUUUGCCUAAUGAAUGAUUAAACACCAAACAUUUAUA
rnacentral:lncRNA from 1 species